CUACCUCACUUCUCUCAGAAACCUAAUCGGUUCCUCACAGGUUCUCUCUCUUUUUCGGUUUCUAUUUCUCUAUUAUUUUCUCGGCAGCCAAACAGAGUUCUUCGGUUGAUUUCGCUUUGUUUCUUUGAUCUUAAUUACCGACUAGUUGGUCUGAUAUAUAUUGUGCCUAGAUUGCUUGGUUAAAGUAGGCUAAGUUUGUGCUUGCAGAUAACAUUUUUCCUGAAUUAUUGCAAUGAUGUAUGUCUUGAAAAAUGGCCUAUUUUGGGGUUGUUUUAAAUGAUUUGAUAUGGGUCUAGGGAGAUCCAAUUUUAUGGUUUUUCUUUUUCCAUCUUCUUGUUGAAAUUGUUGUAUGAUAAUGGUAGUUUUAAUGUGGGCGUUUUAGUUCUAGGUUCUGUAUGUUGUUUUGAAGAUGGGUACUGACGGAUAUGUAAAAUUAAAAAAUAGGUGUGGCACACAAAGGAGAUAAGAAUUGUGGAUUUGUAUGGUUUCACAAAAUAGCUAAUAGUCAUUGAUAGACUGGAAAGUGAAAUGGGUAGCAGACUCAAAAGCUUCGAAUUAGGAUUUGUUAGGAUUGUUCAUUCACAUUUACUAAUUAAGAUGCUUUAAGGUGUCAUUGAGUGCAAUGCAAUAAGCCUUGACAAUUUAUAUUGAGAUAUUGAAGGAUAGGGAUACACGAUGCAUACAACACAUGCACUCAGAUGGGAUUGAAUCCCACCAACCGGCCCCUUUCUCUUCCCUUUUCCCCCAAAAAGAAAAAUCUGGGGUGGCAGGCAGUGGGGGAGGAGGCAUUUGGUCCAAGGACCAUUGGCAUGCAAUGAUGAGUAAAAUAAAGGGCUAUGGGUAAGAAGUCUCCUUUUCUUCAUGUCCUUGAUAUGUCUUAGAACAUUUCUUAGCUCAAUAGGCUCGCGAGAACUUUAGGAGUAUCAGAAUUGAUGUCAGGUUGUAUCAGAUGAGCUAAGCUCAUGUAUUAUGUGGCUUCAUUAAAUUCGAAUUAUUUUCUGCUGUGUCCGAAAGCAUUUUCUCUAAUUUAAGAUAUUCCAGGCUAGAAUUGGCUUGGAAUCUCUGGAAUUUGUCAGCUAGUUUCUUCUGUUCUAUUUGUUUCUGCGAUGGAAGCCAAGAGAAUAUCAAUGAGGAGGCUCCUGAAAACAGUUUAGCAUACACUUCUUUCUAUGUUGGCAACCUUUCCCAUGAGGUAGUAAGAAAUGCAUGAAAUUUUGGCAUUUUCUUAAUUCUUGCACAGAGCACAUUAAUACAGGACAAACCUGUUGUCUUUGUAUGUUGUUCCCUGACCAAUUUGUAAUUACUCCAAAUAUUGUAGUGACUUUCUUUUUUACUCAAAGAAAACUCCAAAUAUACAUGUGUGCUUGUUCGCGCACACAUGAAAUUUGAGAUAGAAAAAUGGGUACUCUAGGAAAUAGUUUUGAAAUUUAAGUAAUUUCUAUAUUAUUUUUGUAAGAUUAGGUUAAGUAUGUACCAUUGUUAAAAGGGAAUAGAAUGGGGUGGGGCUAAUUUCUCCUUUCCCAUUCCUGUGCCACCAAUGUGAGACCCCUUCCAAUAUUGUUCUGUACUUGUGUCUGAACAAACUUUCUUCCCCAUCUCUGCUUCAUCAAAAAUUUAACAGGUCCAUCCCCAUUUACCCCCAACCCAUUUUCUCUAAAUUUCCUCAGCAUAUAACUGAUUCAUAUCUCUUAGGUCCAAGCACUAGGUCUUUUAGGUGUGUUUGGCAUAAGGAGAAGGUGAAAAGAUUAAAAAUUAGAAAGGUUCUCAGGGAAGUAUGGAUCAAGAGAUCAUAUACUCAUCCAAAAAAGAAUAAAAAGGUCAUAAGGUGUAUACAAUUGAAAUUUUGUUACUGCAGAAUUAAGAAUUGUAGAAUUAUGGGUCAUUUUUAAUAUAUUAUUAGUUUAAAGAACAGUACUACAAUGGUUAUUAUUCUUAAUGAACUCUGAUUUAACUAACUUAUUUAUAUUGCUCACUUAGGUAACUCAAAGCUGUCUAAAGCAGAGAAUGAUAGAUCCCCAAUUUCGAGUGAGACUAGGUCAAACCACUAGUAGGGAUGACUUUGUUAGAUCUAUAUUAUGGAUUAAUAUAGAUCCAUAACAUAGAUCUAACAACGUCAUUUCUGACCUGUGGUUUUCAUGUCUAAGCUAUUUGUUUCAUGCUGGUUGGUCCUACCGCACCUCAAUGGGGCAGUAUAUGUUUAUUGAAACUUCAUUAGACUAUUCUAUAAGAACCCAAAAGCUUGUCAACUCUGGUAUGUCCCAUGAAGGAAGGACAUCUUCAGAAAGCCAGAUGAUGUUCUAGCAGCAGCAAAGAAAUAGAACAGAAGCAUUUGAAAUGAUUAUAGCCACUAGCAAGGUAGCAGGAGGUAGUGAGGAGCAACAGGAAAAUUUGGGACAAAUGUAAGUUGUAUUUGUUCAUAUUGUUACAUUUGCUUUGGCUAAAACACAUGUAAAUUGUGGCCAUAUGUCCAAGAUAUUAUUCCUUUUGUAAAUUAUAUUAUAGUAGUAAAAGUCUGAAAUUGGUCAUUGAUGGCAAUUGUUCUAUCUAGAUAGCGAUGGAGCAAUCUUAAACUCUGUAACCACCUGAUGCAUUGAGCAGUUGAGAUUAUUUAGUAA